GGUGACUUUCCUCCUCAUUAACUAUCCCAUCUCAGCCUGCAGAUUCGUACUUCAUACAAUAUCAAACCUCAAUAUUUUAGGAGUACAAUGGCAUAUAUAUAUAUAUACAUAUAUACGCGCUCAUUUUCCAAAAUAAAAUAAUAUCAUAUCGUGACCAUAUUACGUGAAAAAAAAAUGUGAUACAAAAUUAUUUAUAACAUCUUUUUUUGUCCACUUUUUUUUUUAUGCAAUUGGAUCAUAUGGAAGGCAUCAUAUGUUUAUAUGGGAGAUAAUAUAAGCUUAAUUUUCCAAAGCGGAGGAUGUUUCCAGACGGUAACUGAACCAUUACAAAAAGCGAACCUCAGAUAAAAUUGUGCACAGCCUGAACCUACCUUCUCGAAAUUAAUACAAACCCUCCCAAUAGCUGAUUCCUCAAGCUUAGCGAUGCAUCACAAUAGGCCAAAUGAUUUAACACUAAAAUUGUUUUGACCCAUGAAUUCCACCAAUGGAUAGAAUAAAUUAGAGGAUCUGAGCAGCUGUGUUCAGCUUUUCUGCUAAACUCAGCUGUGUCCUUGUGAUGCUUGACAAAUAUAGCAAGAGCAAAUGGUCCUGUAGGAACGGAAGAAAGCAAUAGCCACAAAAGUCAGUCAGAUAAAAAGCCACCAAUGUCAAGGUAACCACAAAGCUACAACAAGAGUAUGAUUGAAUCAGUGGUCAACAAGGACAAUCAAAUUAUAAUACCAACAAUUUUCAACACUAAGAAAUCCCUUUUGAUCUAAGGUUAAUUAAAUGGUAAGAGUCUGCUAAUACAAUUAAGUUAUAAACUUCACCUCUAGGUGAUUUGAGAGCAACACAUUACCUGAAGAUUGUCAUUCACAAGCUUAUCAAAGGCCGAUGGCAAAAGUUUGGGAAGGGAAGCAACAGUUUCUGAUAUAAACCGGCCUAUGCUACUAUCUGAUGCAGUAUGCCCUUCCACAACAUCAUCAACAUAUUUGUGGACAUCAUCAAUUAGGGCUAGUAGCCGCUGCAUUGAGGCUUCCAUUCCUUCCAAAUCACUCGGGAUUUUGUCAACCAUUGGUGUCUUAAGGAUAUCAAAUCCAACUUGCUCAGCUUCAACCAUGCGGAGAUCAACAGGAAUUUCUUGAAAUUGUACAGCAAGCUGACAGUCUCCAAGAGACAAAUUAACGGAAACAUAAGCUUUAAUAGUACCCUCUCCAUUCCUGAACCCUGUAUCCACUGUUAGAUGAAUGGGAUUGGGAACUUCUCUAGAAUAGAAUUCAUGGAUCAAUGCACUUCCACCAGUGACUCCUAAUCCGGUUGAAUACCAUCCAACAAUAGCUUCUUUUGGAUUCACUUUUUGGUGAGACAACAACAUAUUAUGAUGGUAAUCAAUAUCCAGAGCAACCUGGUCGGAGGAUUCAUUGUGAGGGACAGCGUAAGAAUUACGAAUGUCAACAGUGCCAUCGGGUAGGACGGAGCCAAGAAGCGUGCCAAUGACGCGCUCUGCUUGGUCAGGGCGCCUCACGUAGCAAUCGCAGAUGUUGAAGAUCACCAAGGGGUGCACCUUCGCCAACAGGCUUGACGAUGAGAGCACUGGCGUGAAUUGAAGGGCAGUGUGCUCGCUCGCCGCCAUUCUCCGAUCUCGAUUGGACCGCUAAAGAGAGACUGAGCACUAGGGUUUUUGGGAAG
rnacentral:misc_RNA from 1 species